CCUACGGGUGGCAGCAGUGGGGGAUAUUGCACAAUGGGGGGAACCCUGAUGCAGCGACGCCGCGUGUGGGAAGACGGUCCUCUGGAUUGUAAACCACUGUCCCCAGGGAAGAAAAUGACGGUACCUGGGGAGGAAGCUCCGGCUAACUACGUGCCAGUAGACGCGGUACUACGUAGGGAGCGAGCGUUGUCCGGAAUUACUGGGUGUAAAGGGAGCGUAGGCGGGGAUGCAAGUUGGGUGUAAAAACUACCGGCUCAACUGGUAGUCGCCCUCAAAACUGCAGCUCUUGAGUGAAGUAGGGGCAGGCGGAAUGCCUAGUGUAGCGGUGAAAUGCGUAGAUAUUAGGAGGAACACCAGUGGCGAAGGCGGCCUGCUGGGCUUUUACUGACGCUGAGGCUCGAAAGUGUGGGGAGCAAACAGGAUUAGAUACCCCUGUAGUC
rnacentral:rRNA from 1 species